AGUGGCGGACGGGUGAGUAAAACGUAGGAACUUGCCUUAGAGAGUGGGACAACCCGGGGAAACUCGGGCUAAUACCGCAUAAAUGAGAGCAAAGUGUCGCUCUGAGAGAGGCGUACGUCGGAUUAGCUAGUUGGUGGGGUAAAGGCCUACCAAGGCGAAGAUCCGUAGCUGGUCUGAGAGGACGAUCAGCCACACUGGGACUGAGACACGGCCCAGACUCCUACGGGAGGCAGCAGUGGGGAAUAUUGGACAAUGGGGGCAACCCUGAUCCAGCGAUGCCGCGUGUGUGAAGAAGGCCUGCGGGUUGUAAAGCACUUUAGGUGGGGAGAAAUGAUGUAACCCACAGAAUAAGCACCGGCUAACUCUGUGCCAGCAGCCGCGGUAAUACAGAGGGUGCGAGCGUUAAUCGGAAUUAUUGGGCGUAAAGCGCAUGUAGGUGGCUCGUUAAGUCUGAUGUGAAAGCCUGGGCUUA
rnacentral:rRNA from 1 species